ensembl:lncRNA
UAAAGACAGAGGAGUCACUACACCAGCAUUCCUCUGGUGAAGACUGGGGCAGCUGAAACCAAGACUGGGACACUAACAUGGAACAGGUUUUAUAACGAAAACAUAGCUGUAAACCAGGCACAGCUUAAGACAGGUGAGUCUGAACCUUAGAGGACGUAUAGGAUGGAAUGAUACUGGAUAUUUAUCAGCUCCAUGCCUUUACACAGUCACAUACACACAGACAUUG